rnacentral:misc_RNA from 1 species
AAGUCGUAACAAGGUUUCCGUAGGUGAACCUGCGGAAGGAUCAUUAUAAAAUGCUUAAAAGCAUCCACCUUUUGUGCACUUGACCAUUGUACCCUUUGGCGUGGUUUCGACAUUGGCUCUCGAGUCUUUGUCGACUUCCACUCGGGUCGAGCAUGCAGACUCUCUUCGGAGGGAAUGUGUGUUCCUCCUGGGCGCAGAAGCGGCCCGCCAAAGUUUUUAACAAACCUACUUGAACCUUUGCCUGAAAAUACUUAUUUCCUGUGAAAUAAAAAUCUUAAUAAAAACAACUUUUAACAACGGAUCUCUUGGCUCUCC